rnacentral:rRNA from 1 species
GACGAACCGAGCGAACGUUAUUCGGAAUCACUGGGCUUAAAGGGCGCGUAGGCGGCCUUCUAAGUCGAACGUGAAAUCCCUGGGCUCAACCCAGGAACUGCGUCCGAUACUGGAAGGCUUGAAUCCGGGAGAGGGAUGCGGAAUUCCAGGUGUAGCGGUGAAAUGCGUAGAUAUCUGGAGGAACACCGGUGGCGAAGGCGGCAUCCCGGACCGGUAUUGACGCUGAGGCGCGAAAGCCAGGGGAGCAAACGGG